UGAUAUCUAGCCCCAUCCAUACUGCUGAACAGAAGUUGAUGGACGGCCAGACUUACUCAGGGGAGACCCCAGUGGCCAGUCGCUAUUGAUGUUCAAUGAGAAAUAGUAUCGGAUCUAGUGUCGUCCUUCCGUUUACCUUUCCUGAGGUGGGGGUGUUGAUUGGGAAUUAACGUGAAAAAGAACAGUGAAUUUUCUACAUUUGUGCUGUGCUGUGAAUUGGAAAACUUACUACCUACUAGUGAACAACGCAAUUUAGAACAAAUUGCAUCCCUAAUAUCACAACUGGACCAUCGCCUGCGGAUAAAAAUCAUCAACAUUCACGAGUCACCAAAAUACUACGUGCAAAAUGAAACGCAAUAACGACACCCAGAUGAAUGUGGCCGGCAUACGUCGGAACAUCAAGAACCUCGCACACAACUAUUCAGAUGCUCAGAUCAAGGUGCGAGAGGCGACCUCAAAUGAUCCGUGGGGUCCGUCGUCCACAAUCAUGGCGGAAAUCGCCGACCUAACCUACAACGUCGUUGCCUUCUCAGAGAUUAUGCAGAUGAUUUGGAAGCGGACCAACGAUCACGGCAAAAACUGGAGGCACGUGUACAAGGCUCUGCUGCUGCUGGACUAUCUGAUCAAAACCGGAACUGAGAAGGUAGCCCAGCAGUGUAAGGAAAAUAUCUACGCCAUCAAAACGCUGCAAGACUUUCAGUACAUCGAAGAGGGCAAGGAUCAGGGAAUGCACGUACGGGAAAAGGCCAAACAGUUGGUAUCGCUGCUCAAAGAUGACGAUCGAUUGAAAAACGAAAGAGCCCGAGCUCUGAAGGCGAAAGAACGCUUCGCCCGAACCGCCAGCGGAUUCGGAUCGGAUGGAUCGAUCGAUGGACCCACUCAGCGAGAAUCGAGGCCUCCGAAUUGGGGAGAUGGAGAGGGUGCUCCGAAGCCUGUAUCGGAGAUUGAAUUCGUUCGACCGCAAACAGUUGGAGAGGAGGAACUGCAACUGCAGCUGGCCAUGGCCAUGUCUCGCGAGGAAGCCGAACAGGAAGAACAGAGGCGGAGAAGUGACGAUGUGCGAUUACAGAUGGCGCUCAGCCAAAGCGAGAACGACUUCAAGAAAGAUGAUAAACCUGAAAGUUCUCUUGUCGAUCUACUGGAUAUUUCGUUUGGAGCCGCCAGUAUUACCAGUCCUUCUCAACAGCCUGGACCAUCGACUAGUGCAGACCCGUGGGGUCUUCCAGUCGCUGGAGGAUUAAGGCCACAGACCAACGAUCCAUGGUCCAGAACCUCUUCGCCACCGGCAAGCGAUCCAUGGUUGAACAGUGCAUCCGCGUUACCACCUCCGAGUUCCAAACCACCCAUGGUAGGGGGAGGACAGCUAGAUGCCUGGGCGCCGGUACGAACACAAUCACCGUCCGUUACAUCGGGAUCAUCCGUCGAGGGUUGGCUGCAAAACGGAACUGGAGGCGGUGCCAAUGGAUUGGCCGGAACCAACGGCAAUGUUGACCCCUGGAUGAACAAAGCUGCAGCUGCUGCGCCUCUCCAAGAUGCAUGGCAACCGAAACGAACCACACCAGUGCCUACCGCUGAUCCCUGGCAAUCCAACACUGCUAAGCACGAUCCCUGGGCACCAGUCAGUGGUGGAAUCGACGGGUUAUCUGCACUUCCUGCUACUCGACCCUCGCCCGUCGGAGCAAUUACCUCGCCCACUUCUGACCUAGACGAAUUUGACAUUAUCACCAAGCGGAGUAAUAACGGCAAUGCAAUGAAUAACAAUCUAAAUAACAAUGGUGGCUCAUUAUUGGAUGACCUAGAUCCGCUCUCAUCGGGUAACACUUCCAGUUCCGCCAGCAAUUCGAUGCCAGCUACCGCGGCUAAGAAGACACCUGCCUCUUUCCUGGGCGAAAACUCCUCGCUGGUCAAUCUGGACAAUCUUAUCAAACCAGUAACACCGGUGAUGCCGGGAACUGGCUUAGGUUCCACAGCACCAGCUUACAAUCCCUUCGGAGACACCGCACCGGUGCAGAAGAACCUAUUUCAGCAAAAUCAACCACAGGUACCGUCCAUCAAUCAGCUGAAACAAACACCAUUCCCUGUGACGUUGAAUCAGGAUCCGUGGGCACCGGUUAGUUCGGCGGCAGCAGCACAGGUGGGUGAGGAAAUUUUCCCCUUCGGAAUGGAGGGUGGGACUGUUAGUAAAUCUAAUUUUGAAAACCAAUUCUCCACUAACACGAGCAAUAACAAUAACAUCACCGAUUUCAAUGGGAAUCCUCCCACCGUGGACAGGAUCGACGAUGAUGAUAUUUUCAAUACCAACUUUGCCUCCUCGGCGGACGCUCCAAUGGCACCGCUCGAGGAUGGUGUUAUGCUAACAGAUGCCAAUGUGGCUGAGCUGAAGGAUUAUUACAAGUUCAGCUUCGGCAUUGACGAACCGUGCGAUACUCACUCUAACAAUGUCAAUUGUACUGACCACUCCUCGAUGGGUAGUUGGACGCUUAAAUAGAACUAAACCUGCUACUCCUACAUAGUGUAACCAAAAAACAAACGGCAAGAGAACACGCAUUGUGACUGAAUGAGCGAUUGGAUUGUUGUGUGACUAACAAUCCCCCACAAAGGUGGCUGGUUUUUGGCGAAAGAGUGCAUUUUGGAACAAUAUUAAUAACAACAACAGUGCUCCAUGGAUGAACCAGCCGGCAUCAUCGAAUCCAUUCCUAUCGUAAAAGGGCGACUGAUAUUUUGAACAGAAAAAGCAAAUUCCAAACUAAACUGGUGGAAUUAAAAAAAUUGCAAAACAGUACUACUGCUACUAUUAAUGUUACUAUGGCGGAGAAAUAGUAGAGAGAAGGCGAGAGAGGAAGCAAAACGAUCAUGUGAAUGAGUUUUAGUUACACGUAUAAAUCAACAAUUGUAUUGUGAAGGAAAAUUUGACUGUACGUUACGAGCAACAAUAGGGUAUGGAAACUAAAAUGAAACCAAUAGUAAACUAAAAAAAACCAUUGAAGUUUUCUUUCUCCGAGUCCAUGCAAACAGCUACCAUUAGAAACGCCAAUGAUGUCGCUCUAUAAUCGCAAAUAGUAACCAAUCUAAGAAUUGAAAAAAAAAACGAAGAAAAUCAUAAAUGCCUUACUAAAUGUAUAAUGAAACAGAGCAAAAAAAAAAAACUACUACUACAUACUAGCUAGUAUGACGUCGAAAGAUUGUGCUAGUGACUGCUGACUACAUAACUAGAUACACGUGUCGUAGGCUACCAAAUACAAGAAGAAAAUAUUACUAAACAAAACCCAUUAAGUAACCGACGUAAACGAAAACAGAGCUGAAACUAAAAACUAGGUGAAUUAACAUUAAAAAAAAACAAAACUUUCGAGUGCAAAUUUUUAAAGCAUUCUCCCUUUGAUUGAUGGUGACGUGUUUUGUAUAAUCACUGAGAAAAUGUGUGUAAAAUAAAACGUUCGUUUAUUGUAUGUGAUUUGUCAUAAACUCACACAUACACUAUCACACACAAGCUAGACAUACCCAAUUCUGGUAAAAACAAAAAAAAAAUCAUAACAUGCGUAAAUUUACUAAAUGUGAUAAUUGUUACCACACAGUCUCUUUUUUACUGAAGUGUGUUGUUCGAAUUGUAAGGCAAUUGAAAACCACAUGAAACUUGAUGCAAACGUAUGACAAACAUAUGAUGUAGAACCUCUCGUAAAUGUUUGAUCCUAACGAAAAAUGGCACUAUUUUUUUUAAACUUCUACUUCUUCUGAAUUGAAAAAAAUCUUUUAUUAACUGAAACAUGAUAAAUAAAAGUCAAACGAAUGGUUGAGAUUUUGAUAAGGGAUUCCUGUAUUUUUUUCUUCUCACUAGAUUGACGCCUAAGCAAUUAUUUUUUCUGAGUGUGUUCUAAGUAAAGGUAUUAUUUGAGUAAAACACAAUGCCAAUUUUACAGCUUAGUUUGUCCCUUGAGUUUUUAUCGUCAAUUUGAACAUUGAUAUCAGAUUAUAAUUAUUCAAACGCAUGCUUGUCUAUUUUAUUAAAAGGAUUUAACGAUUGCUUUCUGGAUUUUUAUUGGUUUCCAGAAAAACAUGAAAAAAUACAUCGUGCUUUUUUCAUAACCAAUAGACAUUAUCAAAGAAGAAAAGAGAGAAAGAUUUAAAUCUUUCAUUCAUUUAUGUUUAAUCAACAGAACGCCAGAAAGUAUUGCCCUUUCGUCGUCGCACCAGAGAAAUAUUUUCUUCUUUUCUUACAUCUAAUUACAUUAUUACGGGUUGGGAAACGGUUUAGGAGCGCCCGUUUUUUUUUUGCAAAUAUUUAUUCAAACACGUAAGCGAAUAGAAAUCAUUGUCAUUAUGAGUUACAACAAAGAUAUACAAGAAGAAUCAUAAUAUAUUGAAGUAAUAUUAUUAGUUGGCUCUAGCAGUAAUUUGUAGUAGGUCGUAAAGUUUCUUUUUCUAUAGUUUAAAAAUGGAAACAGUAUACAAGAAAACAAAAACAUGGUGAGGCAUUUCCAACAGCCGCAAACGAAAUCAAACAAAAUAAAAACAUAAUUCUCUACUAAUGCAUCAUUAUUUUUACAGAUAGAUUGAAAAAAAGAUUAAUGUUUUUUUUAUAUAAGAAUUGAAACUUUAUUCAACUUGACUAAUUCUUAGCCGACUUGUCUCCCGAAGGUCGAACGAAUCAAACUAGCUAACUGGGAAGGUAGGACUGUAUAAAAUUCAAGAAAAACUGGCGGCGAAGUUUGUGUAUAAUAGCCUAAAUCAGUUGGAAGAAAUUAAACGGAACAUGAUAAAGAAGAAAAAAAAACAAAGAAAAGGAUGAAUGAAAUUAUAUAUUUUUAAUAAAUCAACUUGAUUUCA